rnacentral:rRNA from 1 species
GACGAACGCUGGCGGCGUGGAUUAGGCAUGCAAGUCGAACGGUAGGAUACCUUCGGGUAUCUGAGAGUGGCGAACGGGUGAGUAACACGUAGGUGAUCUACCCUCAAGAUUGGGACAACCCAGGGAAACUUGGGCUAAUACCGGAUGAAAGCAGCAGUGAUGUUGUUUGAAAGGUGGCGUAAGCUGCCGUUUGGGGAUGAGCCUGCGCUCUAUUAGUUAGUUGGCGGGGUAAAGGCCCACCAAGGCGAUGAUAGAUAGGCGGCCUUAACGGGUGGUCGCCCACACUGGGAUUGAGAUACGGCCCAGACUCCUACGGGAGGCAGCAGUCGAGAAUAGUCUACAAUGGCCGAAAGGCUGAUAGCGCGACGCCGCGUGAACGAAGAAGCCCUUCGGGGUGUAAAGUUCUUUUAUAUGUGAGCAGUGCUUUCUAUGUGAACAGCAUGGGGAGAGAGAUAUUAGCAUAUGAAUAAGCAACGGCUAACUCCGUGCCAGC